AUUGAACGCUGGCGGCAUGCUUUACACAUGCAAGUCGAACGGUAACAGGCCGCAAGGUGCUGACGAGUGGCGCACGGGUGAGUAAUGCAUCGGAACGUGCCCAGUCGUGGGGGAUAACUACUCGAAAGAGUAGCUAAUACCGCAUACGAUCUAUGGAUGAAAGCGGGGGACCGUAAGGCCCCGCGCGAUUGGAGCGGCCGAUGUCAGAUUAGGUAGUUGGUGGGGUAAAGGCUCACCAAGCCAACGAUCUGUAGCUGGUCUGAGAGGACGACUAGCCACACUGGGACUGAGACACGGCCCAGACUCCUACGGGAGGCAGCAGUGGGGAAUUUUGGACAAUGGGCGCAAGCCUGAUCCAGCAAUGCCGCGUGCAGGAAGAAGGCCUUCGGGUUGUAAACUGCUUUUGUACGGAACGAAACGGCUCUGGUUAAUACCCGGGGCUAAUGACGGUACCGUAAGAAUAAGCACCGGCUAACUACGUG
rnacentral:rRNA from 1 species